AAAUAAACGUGCUAUUGCAUCUACGUGAAGGUCAAGAGAACGACUUGGAGAAGUUGCUUGUACUUUCCUUCAACCCAGUGAGUCCUUGGGCUUGAACUCAAGUCAUUAAGCUCAACUGCAACUGCCUUUACCCACUGAGCCCUCUUGCCAGCCCAAUAUUCUCAUUUUAGGGGUCCCGGAUAGAAAGAAGUAAGAAAAAUUACCAUGAGUAGAAAGAGAAGAGGUGGUCAUGAGGCAGAAUGUCCAGUAGGAGCCUUGAGGAUCACGUUUCCAAUGACUUGGCCAUGAGGACAUACAUGGAGCAGAACAAUGUCAGGGACAUGUCCAAUCACAGUUGGACGGGAGUGUGGUAAGUGAUUCCAGGCUGCUACAGUGGGCAAGGCAUGCGUACUACAUGGUUCCAAAAAGACAACAGAGGGCAUAAAGAAGACAGGUCUGGGACACAAAACUGCAAGACUCAUAAAUGUUCUAGAACCUCCAGAAACUGUACUGCCUGCUGGGAAACAAAUGUUCAAACACAGGCAGGUGGCUCAGCCACUAAAAACAUUUCCCUGCUCUUCCAGAGAACCCUGAGUUUGGUUUCCAGAAUGAAAAUGGCUAUUCACAACUUUCCCUAACUCCAUCUAGUGGACCUGACACCUAUUUCUGGCCUCCACGGGCACUGCAUGCACACUAUAUGUAAAAAUAAAAGGAAAAUUUGAAAACUUUUAAAA
rnacentral:lncRNA from 1 species